CAGAUAACGGUGGUUUCCCUAUUGCAAUAGCCUAAAUAAAAGCAAUCUUUUAACUUGUCUGUUUCUUUGACAGGAUUGCUGCCAUGACUCAAAAUGGGACCAUGCCUUCAGAUCUCCAUCUGCUCCACCCAGGUAAUAAGGACACUUGGAGCCUUUGUGCUCCAUUUGUGACUGGCAAUACAGGGACCUAAAGGAUUUGAAGAAUCACUGCAAGUUCAAGUUUGAGGAUUUGUUAUAAGCCUAGAAGAACUUAUUAUCAUUCCAGCUAAACAUUCAUGGUCCAACUAUCUCUUUGGAUAAGGCCACUCUUUGGACUACUGAGAACUUUUGGCAAAAUGCUCAGGUCAUGCACACCCUUAUUGGAGAAGUAACCAACACUGUGGACAACAUUACCAAUAUGAUCAACAUCUUACCUUCAAAAACUCAUUUUCUUGGAAAUUCCAUCAAGAUAAGAUCUGCUCUGCCUAUCACCUCAGACCCUAGCCUUCAACUGGGGCAGAACCCCUUGUGCCUUAUUGUUUGCCACUUAUCAAGCCCACAAUGAUGUUGCUGAGUCAGCACCAGGUCUGAACUCCACUCUCUUUGUGGAUAUUUCAUCUAUUGGAAGAGGCAUCAGAGGAAAACUUCUCUUGUCCUCAUUGGAAGAGACCUUGUCAGGAGGAACACCAACAAAAGCCUUGGAGAGACUGUUUAUUAGAUCCUGCUUCAUCCCACUCAGGAGGUUUAUAUUUGUCUUUUACUUGCUCAGCAAUCUAUUAUAUUUGUUCAUCUUGAACAAAAGGAGUUCAUUUUGUCAUCCUGACACUGUGGAACUUUACCUGAGCUCUGUGUUCAGAAAGAUUCAUGUGUACAGGUGUCUGUGGACAACUGAUUUUUGAUGAAGGUGCCAAGAUAAUUCAAGGGGCAAAGUAGUCUUUUAAACAAAUGGUUCUGGGGAAACUGAAUAGCCAUAAGCAAAAUAAUUAAGUUGAAUUCUUACUUUACGAUAUCUUUUUGAAAAAUUCAAAAUGGGUUAAAGAUCUAAAUAUAAGAACUCAAACUAUAAAAAAACUUAGAAGAAAAUAUAGGAGUAAAUUUUCAUGACCUUAGAUGUGAUAGUAGGUUUUUAGAUAUGACACCCAAAAGCACAAGCAACAAAAUAAAAAUCUAGUGAUUGAGAUUUAUCAAAAUUAAAAACUUUUGUGCUUUAAAGAAUAUUAUCAAGAAAGUCAAAAGACAAUCAACAGACUAUAGAGAUACUUGCAAGACACAUAUCUGAUAAGGAAUUUGUAUGUAGAAUACAUAAGGAACUCCUCAAAUCAGUAAUAAAAAAGAUGAAUAACCUAAUUUUAAAAGUGAUAAAUAAUUUAGAGACACAUUCUUUCAAGAGAUAUAAAUAAAUGGCCAAUAAAUAUGUAAAAAAUGCUUGGCAUCACUAGUCAUCAAGUAAAUACAAAUCCAAACCACAAUGAGAUAAAGUAGCAUACCCACAAGGACAAUUAGAAUCAAAACAUCAGAUAAUAAUAUGAGUUGAAAAGAAGGUGGAGAAAUUUGAAUCCUCAUAGACUGCUGCUGGAAAUGUAAAAUAGUGCAGGAACUUUCAAAAACCAUCUGGCAGUUUCCUCAAAUGAUAAGACAUAGAUUUACCAUAAGACUCAGAAAUUUCCCACCUAUGUAUACAGUCAAGAGAAAUAAAAACACAAAAUGUACACACAAAUGUUUACAGCUCCAAUAUUCAAUACUCAUAAAAGCCAAAAGUUGAAAUCAACCCAAUGCCUAUUAACUGAUGAGUGAAUAAACAAAAUGUGAUAUAUUUAUAUAGUAGAAUAUUAUUUGCCCAUAAAAGAAAUCAGGUAGUGAUGCAUGCUAUAACGUGAAUGAACCUUGAUUACAUUAUGUUAAGUGAAGAUACCAAUCACAAAAGGCCAUAUAUUUUAUGACCUAUUUAUAUAAAAUGUUCAGAAUAAGCAACCUAUAGAUUUCGUCAUCUAUAGGUAUAGAAAGUAGGUUAAUGAUUGCAUAGAGAUGGGAAGGAUUCAGGGGGUAGGGUGGGAAAUGAUAGCUAAACAGUAAUUUUUUUGAGGUAAAAAAAUUUUCUAACACUGUGAUGAUAGAUUCAAAAUAUGUGAAUAUACUAAAAUCCACAAUAUUAUAUACUUUAAAUGCAUGAAUUUUAUGGUAUGUGAAUUGUAUCUCAAAAAACUUGUUAAAAAAAAGAAAACAAACAAAUGACCCAUGUUUGCAGGUGUUAAGCUUUUUUAUUGCCUGCUUUCUGAAUAUAGUAAAUUGUGAACCGUUUUCAAGCUAUCUUUGUCCUUUUUAAUUCAAACUGCCAGUAUUUUCACUGAUGAAAAUUCCUUAAAAACUCUGUGAAUUUUCCAUGAAUCUGAUGAGACUUUCUCUAUGCCUCAAAAAACAUAUCCAUAAUUAUUUUUUAAGUAAAGCCUCCAUCUACUUCUGUUGCCUGUGAAAAUGCAAAGGUCAUUAGAAGUCCUUUUUGUCUGAGAGGGUCUACCAGGCACAAUCUUCAAUGUCUGAAGUCUUAAAGGGUUUUAUAGUCAUCCAUUGCUACAUAACGAAUCAUUUCAAAGCUUAGUGAAUUAAAGCAAUCAUUAUUUUUUUAAAAAAUCUGAUCAUUUUGUGGGUCAAUUAGUAGAGUCUUGUACAGAUUUUGCCUGGAUUAACUCAUGUGAUUCAUUAUAGCUGGAGAUUUGACUAGACUGGAAGGUACAAGAUGAACUUUCUGGCCACUGAUUCUGCUCUUUGGCUGGGAUAACAUGGUUUUUCUCCACAUGGCCUCUCAUCUUUCAGUAGGUGAAUUAAGAUUAUUUUCAUGGCUGACUCAGGGAAGUGUUCCAAGAGAACAAAAUCAGAAAAUGCAAAGCCUCUUAAGCCUAACCUCAAAAGAUGGAUUUUCAAGGGAGGCAGCCAAGAUGGCCGACUAGAAGCAGCAGCGAUCAGAAGCUCCCAUCAAAAAGAACCAUAAGAGCACAGGAAUUCUGUAUUAGCAAUUGAGGUAUCCAGGUUCUGUCAUCAGAACUGACUAGGUGGCUGGUGUGACCCAUGGAGAGGAAGGAAGAGCAGUGUGGUGCAGCGGCCCACCUGAGAGCCACAUGGGCAGGGGAGCCCCCGCCCCCCAGCCAAGGGAGGCAGUGAGUGAACGUGCUACUCAGCCUGGGAAAACGUGCUUUUCCCAUGGAACUGUGCAACCCAUGGAUUGGAAGAUCCCACUCGUGAGCCCACACCACCCGGGCCUAGGGUCCCAACCUGAAGCCCUGCAGAGUCUCAACAGCCACUGAGAUAGAAUCUGCUUAAGCCUUCCAUUCUCCCAUGGGGAGGGGUGACCAGCACCACAGCUGCAGCUGCCUGCUGCCUAAGCUGUUUGAGCUCCUUGGGGGACAGGUGACGGCCAACACUGGGACUGAUAGCCACCUAACACACUAAGCUCCCAGGGUGGGGGAAGGGCGGCAGCCAUCUCUAUAGCUCCAGUCUGAACUUUUCCCCUGCUGGAGCUGGGGAGGCUGGAUGGCCUGGUCCCAAGAGGUAUCCCCGACAGCCCAACACAUCGGCUGUGGCAUACUGCAGACAGAGUGCCUCUCAGGCUUGACUUUGACCCAUCUCUCCUCACUGGGUGGGGCCUCCCUGCAGGAACUCAAACAACUCCAGCCAGGGGCUCAGGAUCUCCCUGGGCCUGAGCCCCUAGCGGGAGGGGUGACUGUGGUCUCUGUGGACUAGCAGACUUAGUUUUUCCUCCUGCUAGUUAUGAGGAAUCCAGGCAACCCAGAUGAAUGGGUUUAUCCCCAGUAAAGCACAUCCCCUCCACCAAGGGAUAGUUAAAGUGCUUCAUUAAACAGGUCCUGCUCCCUGUGCCACCCAACUGGGUGAGACCCUCCAACAGGGGUUGUCAGACACCCUAUACAGAAGCAUUCCUACUGGCAUCAGAUUGGUGCCCUUCGAGGUCAGAGAUCCCAGAGGAUGGAGCAUGCAUCCAUCUGUACUGUUCUCCAGCCUCCUCAAGUGACGUUUCCAGGAGCAGGAGUGAAUGAGAUGAAUAGAGCCUGAAGUGAACCCCCAGCAAACUCCUGCAGUCCUACAGAAGAGGGACAUGACAGUUGCAAGAGAAACAAACAGAAAGCAAUAACAACAGCAUCAACAACAACAAAAAAUCCCCAUAAAAACCCCAUCCAAAGGUCAGCAGCCUCAAAGAUUGUUAUAGACAAAUUCAUGAAGAUGAGAAAGAAUCAUCUAAAAAACACUGAAAACCCAAAGGGCCAGAAACCCUUUUUUCCUCCAAAUGAUCACAAAGUCUCUCCAGCAAGGGAGCAGAACUGGAUGGAGGAAGAGAUGGACGAAUUGACAGAAGUAUGAGAUGGAUGAAUUGACAGCCAUGAAAAUAACAAACUCCACUGAGCUAAAGGAGCAUGUUCUAACCCAAUGCAAAGCAGCUAAGAACCUUGAUAAAAGGUUACAGGAACUGCUAACUAGAAUAACCAGUUUACAGAGGAAUAUAAAUGACCUGAUGGAGCUGAAAAACACAGCAUAAGAACUUCAUGAAGCAUACGCAAGUAUCAAUACCCAAAUUGACCAAUGAGAAGAGGGGAUGUCAGAGUUUGAAGACCAUCUUGCUGAAAUAAGGCAUGCAGACAAGAUUAGAGAAAAAAGAAUGAAAAAGAAUGAACAAAACCUCUAAGAAAUAUGGGACUAUUUAAAAAGAUUGAACCUAUGAUUGAUUGGAGUACCUGAAAGAGAUGGGAAUAAUGGAACCAAGUUGGAAAACACACUUCAAGAUAUUAUUCAGAACUUCCCCGACCUAGCAAGACAGGCCAACAUUCAAAUUCAGGAAACACAGAGAACACAACUGAGGUACUCCAUGAGAGCAUCAACCCCAAGACACAUAAUCGUCAGAUUCUCCAAGGUCAGAAUGAAGGAAAAAAUAUUAAGGGCAGGUAGAGAGGAAGGCCAGGUCACCUACAAAGGAAAGCCCAUCAGACUAACAGUGGACCUCUCAGGAGAAACCUACAAGCCAGCCAAAAGAGAAGUGGGGCCAAUAUUUAACAUUCUUAAAGAAAAGAGUUUUCAACCCGAAUUUCAUAUCCAGCCAAACUAAGCUUCAUAAGUGAAGGGGAAAUAAAAUCCUUCCCAGUCAAGCAAAUACUGAGGGAUUUCAUCACCACCAAGCCUGCCUUGCAAGAGCUCCUGAAGGAAGCACUAAAUAUGGAAAGGAAAAACCAGUACCAGCCAUUGCAAAAACACACCAAAAUAUAAAGACCAAUGACACUAUGAAGAAACUGCAUCAACUAGUGUGCAAAAUCACCAGAUAGCAUCAUGAUGAGAGGAUCAAAUUAACACAUAACAAUAUUAAUCUUAAAUGUAAAUGGGCUAAAUACCCCAAUUAAAGGACACAGACUGGCAAAUUGGAUAAAGAGUCAAGACCCAUUGGUGUGCUGUAUUUAGGAGACCCAUCUCAUGUGCAAAGACACACAUAGGCUCAAAAUAAAGGAAUGGUGGAAAAUGUACCAAGCAAAUGGAAAGAAAAAAAAAAAAAGCAGGGUUUGCAAUCCUAGUUUCUGACAAAACAGACUUUAUACCAACAAAGAUCGAAAAAGACAAGAAGGUCAUUACAUAUUGGUAAAAGGAUCAAUUCAAGAAGAAGAGCUAAUUAUCCUAAAUAUAUAUGCACUCAAUACAGGAGCACCCAGAUUAAUAAAACAAGUUCUUAGAGACCUAUGAAGAGACUUAGAUUCCCACAUAAUAAUAGUGGGAGACUUUAACACCCCACUGUCAAUAUUAGACAGAUCAAUGAGACAGAAAAUUCAAAAGGAUAUUCAAGACUUGAACUCAGCUCUGGAUCAAAUGGACCUAAUAGACAUCUGCAGAACUCUCCACCCCAAACCAACAGAAUAUACAUUCUUCUCAGUGCCACAUGACACUUAUUCUAAAAUCAACCACAUAAUUGGAAGUAAAACACUCCUUAGCAAAUGCAAAAAACUGAAAUCAUAACAAACACCCUCUGAGACCACAGUACAAUCAAAUUAGAACUCAGGAUUAAGAAACUCAUUGAAAAUCACACAACUACAUGGAAAUUGGACAGUCUGCUCCUGAAUGACUCCUGGAUAAAUAAUGAAAUUAAGGCAGAAAUCAAUAAGUUCUUUGACACCAAUGAGAACAAAGAGACAAUGUACCAGAAUUUCUGGGACACUGCUAAAGCAGUGUUAAGAGGGAAAUUUAUAGCACUAAAUGCUCACAUCAGAAAGCUAGAAAGACCACAAAUCGACACCCUAAAAUCACAAUUAAAAGAGCUAGAGAAGGAAGAGCAAAGAAAUCCAAAAGCUCUCGGGAGACAAGAAAUAACUAAGAUCAGAGCAGAACUGAAGAAGAUAGAGACAAAAAAAAAAAAAAAAACCCUUCAAAAAAUCAA